CCUACGGGAGGCAGCAGUGGGGAAUAUUGGACAAUGGGGGAAACCCUGAUGCAGCGACGCCGCGUGAGUGAAGAAGUAUCUCGGUACGUAAAGCUCUAUCAGCAGGGAAGAAAAUGACGGUACCUGACUAAGAAUCCCCGGCUAACUACGUGCCAGCAGCCGCGGUAAUACGUCGGGGGCAAGCGUUAUCCGGAUUUACUGGGUGUAAAGGGAGCGUAGACGGCAGUACAAGUCUGGAGUGAAAUCCCGGGGCUUAACCCCCGAACUGCUUUUGAAACUGUGAGGCUGGAGUGCAGGAGGGGUAAGCGGAAUUCCUAGUGUAGCGGUGAAAUGCGUAGAUAUUAGGAGGAACACCGGUGGCGAAGGCGGCUUACUGGACUGUAACUGACGUUGAGGCUCGAAAGCGUGGGGAGCAAACAGGAUUAGAUACCCUGGUAGUC
rnacentral:rRNA from 1 species